AUUGAACGCUGGCGGAAUGCUUUACACAUGCAAGUCGAACAGCAGCACGGACUUCGGUCUGGUGGCGAGUGGCGAACGGGUGAGUAAUGUAUCGGAACGUGCCCAGUCGUGGGGGAUAACGUAGUGAAAAUUACGCUAAUACCGCAUACGAUCUAUGGAUGAAAGCGGGGGAUCGCAAGACCUCGCGCGAUUGGAGCGGCCGAUAUCAGAUUAGGUAGUUGGUGGGGUAAAGGCCCACCAAGCCAACGAUCUGUAGCUGGUCUGAGAGGACGACCAGCCACACUGGAACUGAGACAUGGUCCAGACUCCUACGGGAGGCAGCAGUGGGGAAUUUUGGACAAUGGGCGAAAGCCUGAUCCAGCCAUUCCGCGUGCAGGAUGAAGGCCCUCGGGUUGUAAACUGCUUUUGUACAGAACGAAAAGGUUUCUACUAAUACUAGGAGCUCAUGACGGUACUGUAAGAAUAAGCACCGGCUAACUACGUGCCAGCCGCCGCGGUAA
rnacentral:rRNA from 1 species